AACACAUGCAAGUCGAACGAAUAAGAGCCUAGCUUGCUAGGAAUUCUGUUAGUGGCAGACGGGUGCGUAACACGUGGGAACUUACCUUGCAGUAUGGGAUAACAACGGGAAACUGUUGCUAAUACCAUAUACUCUCUGAGGCGAAAAGAUUUAUCGCUGUAAGAUAUGACCGCGCUAGAUUAGGUAGUUGGUGGGGUAAUGGCCUACCAAGCCUACGAUCUAUAGCUGGUCUGAGAGGACGACCAGCCACACUGGGACUGAGACACGGCCCAGACUCCUACGGGAGGCAGCAGUGGGGAAUAGUGGACAAUGGGCGAAAGCCUGAUCCAGCAAUGUCGCGUGAAUGAUGAAGGCCUUAGGGUUGUAAAGUUCUUUCGGUGGGGAAGAUAAUGACGGUACCCACAUAAGAAGCUCCGGCUAACUCCGUGCCAGCAGCCGCAGUAA
rnacentral:rRNA from 1 species